rnacentral:misc_RNA from 1 species
UACGGAGGGUGCAAGCGUUAAUCGGAUUUAUUGGGCGUAAAGGGCGCGUAGGCGGAUAGAUAAGUCGGAUGUGAAAUUUCGUGGCUCAACCGCGAAGCUGCAUUCGAAACUGUUUAUCUAGAGGAUGGACAGAGAAAGCGGAAUUCCACAAGUAGCGGUGAAAUGCGUAGAUAUGUGGAAGAACACCUGUGGCGAAAGCGGCUUUCUGGUUUAUACCUGACGCUGAGGCGCGAAAGCUAGGGGAGCAAACAGG